UCCUACCGGGAGGCAGCAGUGGGGAAUAUUGCACAAUGGGCGCAAGCCUGAUGCAGCCAUGCCGCGUGUGUGAAGAAGGCCUUCGGGUUGUAAAGCACUUUCAGUCGUGAGGAAGGUAGUGUAGUUAAUAGCUGCAUUAUUUGACGUUAGCGACAGAAGAAGCACCGGCUAACUCCGUGCCAGCAGCCGCGGUAAUACGGAGGGUGCGAGCGUUAAUCGGAAUUACUGGGCGUAAAGCGCAUGCAGGUGGUUUGUUAAGUCAGAUGUGAAAGCCCGGGGCUCAACCUCGGAAUAGCAUUUGAAACUGGCAGACUAGAGUACUGUAGAGGGGGGUAGAAUUUCAGGUGUAGCGGUGAAAUGCGUAGAGAUCUGAAGGAAUACCGGUGGCGAAGGCGGCCCCCUGGACAGAUACUGACACUCAGAUGCGAAAGCGUGGGGAGCAAACAGGAUUAGAUACCCUGGUAGUCCACGCCGUAAACGAUGUCUACUUGGAGGUUGUGGCCUUGAGCCGUGGCUUUCGGAGCUAACGCGUUAAGUAGACCGCCUGGGGAGUACGGUCGCAAGAUUAAAACUCAAAUGAAUUGACGGGGGCCCGCACAAGCGGUGGAGCAUGUGGUUUAAUUCGAUGCAACGCGAAGAACCUUACCUACUCUUGACAUCCAGAGAACUUUCCAGAGAUGGAUUGGUGCCUUCGGGAACUCUGAGACAGGUGCUGCAUGGCUGUCGA
rnacentral:rRNA from 1 species